GACCCACAGCAUAUCGACCCCUGAGAGAAAAGCUAACGGUUGUGGGUUUAAGAGAAGCUAACGGUUGUGGGUUUAAUGGACACUAAGAGGAACACAUCAGCCCACUGACAGUACUCGUGUAUUUGCUAAGUAUUCCCUUCAACACUACCCCAUGUUUUGCUGCAAGAGUCAAUAUUAGUUUACUGACAGCAGACGUAAGGGAAAUCCGUGUAUGAAAAUGGCGGGAAUGACAAGCACGAGUGUACUGUGGGCUGUUGUGUACCUCUUACUGAACUAUCAGAGUUGUGAGGCUGUUACUGGUGUAGCUUCCCCUCUCACUGCACCGUCACCUGGUGUAGUUUCCCCUCUCACUACACCGUCACCGUCACCUGGCGUAGCUUCCCCUCUCACUGCACCGUCACCUGGUGUAGCUUCCCCUCUCACUGCACCGUCACCUGGUGUAGCUUCCCCUCUCACUGCACCGUCACCUGGUGUAGCUUCCCCUCUCACUGCACCGUCACCGUACCAUAAACGACCAACCUCACGACCCCAUGGAGCACGAAUGACUUCUGUCUUCAAAUGUAUACAAGGCUCCAGUUUGAAGGGUGAGGUCUUGGAAACACCCCACGAACACAACCAGUACUUGGUAAACGUGAGUAUUAACUUCAAGUACGUACAAGUAUCGAUGAAGAUUGGUUCGUGUUCUGACGACUAUGUGUUAUACAGAGGCAACCAUUACCUCACCAGCGACCUCCUCCACCUCGACACCUCCAACACACAGGUGGUGAUGAAGGUAACCUACACCAAACUAACAGAAGGCGUCCAUGCAUAUCGCCUCUCCUUAGAAGGUAUAAAUUAUUACAACCUCAUCAACACCUCAGUCAAUUGUGGACAGUUUCUUGGAUUUCGCUUGAGGGCUAAAGGCGCCUCUGUCUGUGACUUGCGAUGGGAGUCAAACAACCUGGGUGUGCGGGUGAGCCAAUUCAGACCCGCAGCCCCAGCCGAAGACCCCUUCAAGAUGCUCCAUGACCUACGCCGCUGGGCAAGAGGGGCCUAUAUCCUGGCCAUCUGCUUCACCAUCAUCAUAUACGUAGUGUUCCUGGUAGCCGAGAAACUCUUACACAUACAAGCACGUUACCAGGACAUCAUCAGUGAGAGGUAUGAGUGCUGGGGCCUUCCUACUGGCCGCUGCAAACCUCCCCUCCUAAGACACACACCCAAGUCCCCGGGCCCUCUGUGAUGGAGAAGCCUUUGUGGUGUGUAUCCGAUUUAUUACAAGAGUAACUGCGGCAAAACUUAUAGCAGAUCAACACGGCCGUCACCUCCUACAUCCCUGAGAACAAGCUACCAGACUGAACAACACUAUACCCAGAGAAGGAUGGUAAACAGCUUCUACUUGGCUCCUCCCAGAAUGCACCUGAGGUAGAGAAAUAAGGAUAACACAUUUACUACAAAGUUGCUAAGCUUGUUCCACAUGAUGAGGAUGGGAGACAGGAGAGUACCCAGGAGGACGCUCAGGCGGAGAUAGCAUGCGAGGAGACCCAGAAGACCAGAGGAAGACCAAGUUAAAGAUGGGAAGAGCCUUAAGAUGACCUCGACGAGAAAGAAACGACAGAGCUGGUCACAGUGAGUUGAAGACUGUUGACCUGACGUGUUGACCUUCAAUUACUGUGGAGUACUGAGGUGUUAAGAAACAUCAGGUUAUUGAGGAGCCUUAGUCUGCGUAGCUCCUUCUGCGAGUCUCACCCGUGUACCGGACUCCUGUGUCUGAUACCCAAGGAGAAGUCUAGUCUGACCACACUAACAACACUAGCAGCUGAAGGUCCGUGUGGCACCCAGUCUAGUCUGACCACACUGACAACACCAGCAGCUGAAGGUCCGUGUGGCACCCAGUCUAGUCUGACCACACUGACAACACCAGCAGCUGAAGGUCCGUGUGGCACCCAGUCUAGUCUGACCACACUGACACCAGCAGCUGAAGGUCCGUGUGGCACCCAGUCUAGUCUGACCACACUGACAACACCAGCAGCUGAAGGUCCGUGUGGCACCCAGUCUAGUCUGAC
rnacentral:misc_RNA from 1 species